GGAGCACCAGGAUCUUUGAAUUUUGGAGGGGUGUUGUGUUGGAGAAUAGAACUCACUUGCUCAGUUAGGAAGACCUUUUUAGGCACAUGUGUCCUAGAUUUUCGCUUUUGUGUACAAAGGUCUUUGAGAAAUUUGGCAUAGGAGGGAACUUGUCUAAUAGCAUCAAGAAGCGGAAGGUUGAUUUUCACUUGUUUGAAAACCUCCAUCAUUUCCUCUAGUGAAGUUUCCUUUUUGCCAAAGGGAGAGGGUGAAUUAAGAGCUUCAAGAAAUGGGGCCUUUGG
rnacentral:lncRNA from 1 species